rnacentral:rRNA from 1 species
UACGUAGGGUGCGAGCGUUGUCCGGAAUUAUUGGGCGUAAAGGGCUCGUAGGCGGUUUGUCGCGUCGGGAGUGAAAUCCACUGGCUUAACUGGUGGCUUGCUUUCGAUACGGGCAGACUGGAGGUAUGCAGGGGAGAACGGAAUUCCUGGUGUAGCGGUGAAAUGCGCAGAUAUCGGGAGGAACACCGAUGGCGAAGGCAGGUCUCUGGGCCACUACUGACGCUGAGAAGCGAAAGCAUGGGGAGCGAACAGG